GCUCAUGCCCACCCAAAUCUUCUAGACUGGCCUGGUUGCUGCUAUAGUCAGUAGCAGAGCUUGUCACAUGUCCAGUUUCAUCCCCUUUGUAUUUUCUGCUCAAAAAUAAUGCUGAAAACUUGCAGCUGGAGCAUUGCUGCUGGCAGUCAGUGUUCCUACAGAUCACAACUGAGUAUGCAGACAAGUUGCUGUCACUGCAGGGGUGACAUCGGACAUCUGUCCCUGGGCACCUCCUUAGGUUUCAGGUCACCAGCUUUUCAAGAGGGCCUCUGCAGAUUUGAGAACUAAUUCCUUAUGUCACUUCUGCACCUCAGCAUAAUCACUGCUGGAGUCAAUCCCUGCUGCAUCCUCUGGUCUCUUCACCUUCUGUAUUUUAAGUAAAAUCCUCAGACGUGGACAGAGCUAAACUCUGCUUUUUUGGGUCCACAGAUUGUUGCCAGAUAUAAUUUGUUCAUCUCCUUUUCUACUUGUCUUUCUGGGUCGCAGAUAAAAACCUCAAAACUAAACCAGUCAUCUCCUUCAUCUCUUCCAACCAUCCUACUUCCUGGAUGGUUGGACUGGAUGACCUUGUAGGUCCUUUCCAACCUUGGUGCUUUUGUAAUUCUGUGAUUCAGAGGAGGAAUUUCCUUGAGAGAAGUCUGAGUCCUCUAAGACCUGGUAUUUUUUUACAGACUCUUUGAAAACAAGCAAAAAAGGCAAGGAUGUUCCAAAUCUCAUGCAAUAGAGCACAGCCAGUAGCACUUCUGUGUACAGUAGUCAGUCACAUAUCUUGUAUGAAUUUCAUAUCACUGCUUAAAAAAUAGAAAAACAGCCUCAAAGAGUUACAGUAGAAGCUUUCCCUUCAGAAAGCUGCUUGCCUCAUUGAUGGAAAGGUCACCUGGACUCAUCCAACUGACAGAUGAGUGAGUUUCUGCUUGCUUGUGAUUUCUUUCUGAGAUCACAAGUUUCUUGCACUGCUCUGAGUGCUUUUUUUUCAGCUUAACUAUCUAGUUCAGAUACUAGCAAGAAAGCUGAGUAGUGUGGUUAUAAAAAUGAGUUUCUAUUAUAGGUUUAAGAUAUGAAAUUAGAUAGCUUUCACAUCAUUAAGCACCAAAUCUGCUGCGUAAACACAUGCUAACUCACUGUGAGGCUUCAUUUAAAAGACAGAGAAGCACAUCUCAGUCCUUGAGGUGGAGGAGGAGACUUUUCUGGUUUGCACCUGAGAUCUCACAGCCUUUGAAAACACAGAUUGGUGAAACUGAGAGCCGAGCAGACAGCUGAGGGAGGAUGAUCCUGGAGCCACAGCAGGAAAGUAUUGCUGCAUUCUGCUAAAGGUGGUGAGGACCCUGUGGACUGACGCUUGUUCAGCUUCACCUGAUGGAGGUAUGCCUUGGAGCCCCACAUCCAUCCUGUCUGUUUGACUUUGCUGGUGCCUCUGCAAUCGCUUACCUUCAGCAAGGGAUCAGUGGGAUUUCCUUCACAGCUUUGUAGGCUCCAUCAUCUCUUUUACCUGGAGGAUUUUUUUACCUAGAGAUUACCUUUUCACCCUAAUGUCCAUUCCGACCACCAGCUUGUCAUGUUGGUAACAGCACCAUGCUUACAGUGGCUGACCAAUUUCUUUUUUUCUUAUUCUGCCCAAAUGAGCUGCUGUCCGUGAGGAAGAAUUUCCAUUUCCAAAACAAACUCACCUUUUGUCCAUCAUCAGAGCCAUUGAGAAGAAUCUGCACGUUGCCACCAGCCUCAGCUGCAGCAUUUCCACCAAUGCAGGCUGCCUUGUAAGAUUCUCUUUGCAGCUUUUAGCUCUGUUGUACCUUUAAUAUCAUAGUUUGUAGGCAGAUGAUUUAUGACAGUGGCUAAAUUUCCAAAUAGGCAAUAUAAAAGAGAUUAUAUUAUUCCAGAGGCAACAGCUCCAAUUCCAUAAUCUCAUCACUUGAUUCCUUCUCACAGUUAAGUGUCACUGAAAGCCCGAUAAACCGCUUAAUGUGACCGUGCUUUAAUUUUAUGGGUAGCAAUCUUGGAUUACUGUGUUUUUCUGGUGCUGCAAUCCACGCUACAUAAACCUGUGCAGUUUUCUAAAUUUCACUGUUUCCUCUCUCACUACAAAGGCAUUAGAACUCCGGCCUUUAAACUGGAGGCUCUCAGGGCAGCAGGUGAUGGGCAUUCUCCUUUGCCAGUUUAGUACAGGUAUGGCAAUAAAAAGCUAAUAUUUAUAUAUUGAAGGCAACUUUGUUAAUAUAAUAGUAUUUCUUCAAAGGAAACAGUGAAAUUUUCAAUACUAAGACAAAGAAAUCAAUGAAAAGAAUGGAAGUACUAGCUAGGAAAUCGUAAAAUGAAUCAAAAGCAGCUAAUGCCACUUUGCCUAUGAAGAUGGGCCAAGUCAGGCUGCCCUGGAGGUAAGUUUUCUUUAUGGCAGCCCAUGUGGCAUUGUGCUUUGGAUCUGUGACCACGCAGAACUGCUGGCACAGCAGUGCCUCACCUGUUGCUGAGCAGCAUUCACACAGCAUCAAGGCUUUCCUUUGUUCCCACUUUCUGCCCAGCAAGGAGGCUGGGUCAUCAAAGGGACAUUCCAUUCCACACAAUGCCACGCUCAACAAUAAAAGCUGGGGGAAAAGAAUGAAGGAGGGGGAACGUUUGGCAUUGUGGAGUUCAAUUUCCCACAUACCCGUUAUGCAUAGUGAUGCUCUGCUUGCCCCCAAAGCUGCUGGAGAUCUGCCUGCUGGUGGGAAGUACUGAAUGAACUCCUUGUUCUGCUUUGCUUGCACACACAGCGAUUUUUUGCUGACCUUUUAAACCGUUUCUGUCUCAACUCAUGAGCCUUUCCUCAAUUUUGCCCUUCUGAUUUUCUGGAUGAGAUUGGAUCAACUGACCACCCACACCUCCACACAUGACAGUCACUUCCCCACAGUCACACUGCCAAGUAAACAUGGGCACAGGAGGGACAGAAGGUCUCACCCCCAUGCAGUAAGGACCUUCUACAUGACCCUACAAUGGCCUAACUCCCUACACCUGAACCUUAAACCUUCAGCACCAUCUGACACCUGGGCA